GAGCUCAUUCUGAACACUAGGAAGGGGGAACGUUAGAAAAAUACCAAGCAAAGAGAAACUGAUUUGACAUGUAUUUCAUAAAUGGAGGAGAAGGUGGGUAAAGGAAAAGAAAGGAAGAAGAGAAGAAGGGGGAGAGAGGAAAAGGGAAGGGGAGGGAGAUGAAAUAUAAUUUGUCAUUUCACAGAAAAUGGGAAGUAGGCUGGGUGGGACAUGGGUAUUUUGUGUUUGGAAGUGACGUGGAAACUGCACUGUGGCUGAAUAAUACACGAUCACCCUGAGAUCAAAGGGAUAUGCAGCCCUUUCCACAUUCAGAUGUAUGUGUCUGAAUAUGGAAGAGUUAACCAAGAUGAAUGAUGUUAUCCAGGUACCACUCUGCCCCUAAAGAAACAGUGUCUCUCUAAGAGGAAUCACACAGGGAAAGUUCAUUUGCUUGCUCCCUCCUUGCUUCCUGACAGGAAGUCAGCUGUCAGCCAGCCAGCCAGGAAGACAACCCUCCUCCCGACCUGGCUACACUUGUACCCUCACCUUGCUUUCCACUCUCCAAAACUGUGAGAAAUUUCACGAUGACAUCCUAAACUGAAAAUUACACAGAGAAGAAAGAAAGUGUAUUUAUACAGCCUUGUAUGGUAACAAGCCACUUUGAAAAGUAUUGGAUGUGUCUUAUCCUUACAAAAUGGGCAAGAACUGCUGCCUCUGUGUUUAAAAUGAGAUGCUCAUAAAGAACACACAGAUUACCACGAGCAGUACCGUACCAGAUAAUAAACCACACAUGACAGAAA